CCCUCAGUAUCAGAGCUUGUGUGGGGAACUCUUCACUUUUGGCCUAACCAAAACCAGACCUGCCUAAACCUUAUAUCCUAGCCGGUUAGGUCAAGUAGAAUGCGUUGAGCUCCCUCAGUAUCAGAGCUUGUGUGGGGAACUCUUCACUUUUGGCCUAACCAAAACCAGACCUGCCAAGCCCUUAUAGCCUAGCCGGUUAGGUCAAGUAGAAUGCGUUGAGCUCCCUCAGUAUCAGAGCUUGUGUGGGGAACUCUUCACUUUUGGCCUAACCAAAACCAGACCUGCCUAGCCCUUAUAUCCCAGCCGGUUAGGUCAAGUAGAAUGCGUUGAGCUCCCUCAGUAUCAGAGCUUGUGUGGGGAACUCUUCACUUUUGGCCUAACCAAAACCAGACCUGCCUAGCCCUUAUAUCCCAGCCGGUUAGGUCAAGUAGAAUGCGUUGAGCUCCCUCAGUAUCAGAGCUUGUGUGGGGAACUCUUCACUUUUGGCCUAACCAAAACCAGACCUGCCUAGCCCUUAUAUCCCAGCCGGUUAGGUCAAGUAGAAUGCGUUGAGCUCCCUCAGUAUCAGAGCUUGUGUGGGGAACUCUUCACUUUUGGCCUAACCAAGACCAGACCUGCCUAACCCUUAUAUCCCAGCCGGUUAGGUCAAGUAGAAUGCGUUGAGCUCCCUCAGUAUCAGAGCUUGUGUGGGGAACUCUUCACUUUUGGCCUAACCAAAACCAGACCUGCCUAGCCCUUAUAUCCCAGCCGGUUAGGUCAAGUAGAAUGCGUUGAGCUCCCUCAGUAUCAGAGCUUGUGUGGGGAACUCUUCACUUUUGGACGAACUAAAACCAGACCUGCCUAAACCUUAUAUCCCAGCCGGUUAGGUCAAGUAGAAUGCGUUGAGCUCCCUCAGUAUCAGAGCUUGUGUGGGGAACUCUUCACUUUUGGCCUAACCAAAACCGGACCUGCCUAAACCUUAUAU